CAUCAAAUGACUGAAAGCAAGUACUGGUCUCUUAAACCAUUUUAUAGUAAGUAGCGCUUACUUUUGAUG
rnacentral:tRNA from 1 species